rfam:Felis catus isolate Cinnamon breed Abyssinian chromosome C2, whole genome shotgun sequence.
GCCUGGGUGGCUCAGUCGGUUGAGCGUCCGACUUUGGCUCAGGUCAUGAUCUUGCUGUUUGUGAGUUCAAGCCCCACGUCAGGCU